AUGCUGGGCUUCCUUUAUUCCUGCCACUGGAACUCCCGCCCGAAGAUGAAAGAUAAUAUCCCACACUUUGUCCCCACCACGAAAUUUCGUGCGUGCAUUCCCGACGAUGACUGGGGGGACUGGGAAUAUGAUGCGUGGGACUGCCGCCAUGGUCGUGUUCUCCUUGGCGAUGCAGGCUAUAAACCCAUGACGCUCGUCGUUUGGGACCCCAUGACGGGCUGCCGGAGGGAGCUGGAUGCGCCCGUCCUGGUGGACAAUAGCUAUGGGGCAGCGGUGCUCUGCGCUGCGAGUGGCUGUGACCACAGUACGUGCCACGCAGGGCCCUUCCAGGUCGUCUUCAUCGCUCUGAACAAGACUGAUGCUCAUCAUUGUGUUGCACAGGCGUGGGUGACCUUGCCGGUGACAGGUGACCACAGCAACCCCAUUUUGUUGAGCAUAUACCGUUCUCAUUUUGAUAAGUGGAGCAAUCCAUGCUCCGGCCUUCAUCUUGACUCCGAUGUGUACAUCCACGAAGCGCCUCCUGUCUUCAUCCAAGACACACUUCACUUCAAGCUUUGUAGCUGCGUCGAUGAUCGCCUAGUCGGAAUUCUCAUGUACGACAUAAGCACUAAUUGCUUAUCAUUGAUUGAUAUGCCGCUUGCGGGGUCUAUCAUUGCUGAUGAUGUUAUCCUCAUGGUGAUGGAGGAUGACAGUUUGGGGUUUGCGCAUGUGGGUGGGUUAAUCCUCAAUCUGUGGUCAAGGCACAUGGGUUCUGACGGAGUUGCAUCAUGGACUCAGCGUACAGUCAUCAAUAUCAACGACAUCCUUCCCAUUCGAAAUCCAAAGAAAAGACUUAGGCUGAUUGGAUCUGUGGAAGGCACCGAUAUCAUUUUCGUGACCACGGAUCUUGGCAUCUACAAGAUUAAUCUGAAGUCACUACAGUGGAAGGAGAGAAAAGUUUCAGGUUUUCAUCCCAUACACGAGUUUCUACAAUUCACAAGAAAGGGUGACCCCCAGUGA
rnacentral:rRNA from 1 species